UGAGGUUAGUAUAACAGGUGUAGUGUGAGGUUAGUAUAACAGUGUGAGGUUAGUAUAACAGUGUAGUGUGAGGUUAGUAUAACAGUGUAGUGUGAGGUUAGUAUAACAGUGUAGUGUGAGCGUUAGUAUAACAGUGUAGUGUGAGGGUAGUAUAACAGUGUAGUGUGAGGGUAGUAUAACAGUGUAGUUGAGGUUAGGUAUAACAGUGUGAGGUUAGUAUAACAGUGUAGUGUGAGGUUAGUAUAACAGUGUAGUGUGAGGUUAGUAUAACAGUGUAGUGUGAGGUUUCGUAUAACAGUGUAGUGUGAGGUUAGUAUAACAGUG